rnacentral:misc_RNA from 1 species
GAUGAAGAACGCAGCGAAAUGCGAUAAGUAGUGUGAAUUGCAGAAUUCCGUGAAUCAUCGAAUCUUUGAACGCACAUUGCGCCUUCUGGUAUUCCGGAAGGCAUGCCUGUUCGAGAGUCAUUAACAACCGUUUCGAUCCCUUUCUUUCAGAAAUUACAAAGAGGAAAAGGGUUUGGUUAUGGUGGAGGAGGGAAAGGGAGCGUUUAGCCUGUAAAAAAAGAGGCUGUGUUCCGCCUCCCCCCCAAAAUUGUACAGGCGGUCGUGUGUGCCCACGCAUCGAGGUGUUGUAAAAGCUGCCACGGCACUUUUCACCUGUGCAGUGCGAGAUUGGCCAGCCGGUUUAAAAACCCCUCCAAACAAUCAAAGGUUGACCUCGGAUCAGGUAGGGAUACCCGCUGAACUUAAGCAUAUCAAUAAGCGGAGGA